rnacentral:tRNA from 1 species
GCCGAUGUAGCUCAAUUGGUAGAGCAACUGAUUUGUAAUCAGUAGGUUGCCAGUUCGAGUCUGGCCAUCGGCUCCA